rnacentral:rRNA from 1 species
UACGUAGGUGACAAGCGUUGUCCGGAUUUACUGGGCGUAAAGAGCUCGUAGGCGGUUUGUCGCGUCUGCCGUGAAAGUCCGGGGCUCAACUCCGGAUCUGCGGUGGGUACGGGCAGACUAGAGUGAUGUAGGGAGACUGGAAUUCCUGGUGUAGCGGUGAAAUGCGCAGAUAUCAGGAGGAACACCGAUGGCGAAGGCAGGUCUCUGGGCAUUAACUGACGCUGAGGAGCGAAAGCAUGGGAGCGAACAGG